UACAGAGGGUGCGAGCGUUAAUCGGAAUUACUAGGCGUAAAGCGCGCGUAGGCGGCUUUGCAAGCCGGAUGUGAAAUCCCCGGGCUUAACCUGGGAACUGCAUUCGGGACUGCAUUGCUAGAGUAUGGGAGAGGGAAGUGGAAUUUCAGGUGUAGCGGUGAAAUGCGUAGAUAUCUGAAGGAACAUCAGUGGCGAAAGCGACUUCCUGGACCAAUACUGACGCUCAUGUGCGAAAGCGUGGGGAGCAAACAGG
rnacentral:rRNA from 1 species